rnacentral:rRNA from 1 species
GACAGAGGGUGCAAACGUUGUUCGGAAUUACUGGGCGUAAAGCGCAUGUAGGCGGCCUAGCAGGUCGGAUGUGAAAUCCCUCGGCUCAACCGAGGAACAGCCGGAGCUACGGCCGGACUAGACGGCAUCAGGGGACAGUGGAACUCCCGGUGGAGCGGUGAAAUGCGUAGAUAUCGGGAGGAACGCCGGUGGCGAAAGCGACUGUCUGGGGUGCCUGUGACGCUGAGGCGCGAAAGCCAGGGGAUCAAACGGG